rnacentral:rRNA from 1 species
UGCCAGCAGCCGCGGUAAUACGAGAGGGGAUUAGCGUUGUUCGGAAUUACUGGGCGUAAAGCGUACGUAGGCGGAUUAAUAAGUUAGAGGUGAAAUCCCAGGGCUCAACCCUGGAACUGCCUUUAAAACUGUUAGUCUUGAGAUCGAGAGAGGUGAGUGGAAUUCCAAGUGUAGAGGUGAAAUUCGUAGAUAUUUGGAGGAACACCAGUGGCGAAGGCGGCUCACUGGCUCGAUACUGUCUGCUGAGGUGCGAAAGUGUGGCGAGCAAACAGGAUUAGAUA